AAAGAAACCCAUUAUAUUCUCCAUGGCGAGACUGGACCGAGUGAAGAACUUAACAGGUCUGGUCGAAUUCUAUGGCCGGAGUGAUCGCCUGAAGGAGCUGGCAAACCUUGUGGUGGUUUGUGGAGACCAUGGCAAAGAAUCAAAGGAUCUGGAGGAACAAGCAGAAUUCAAGAAGAUGUACAGUCUCAUUGAGAAGUACAAUCUGCAUGGGCAUUUCCGGUGGAUCUCUGCCCAAAUGAACCGAGUUCGCAAUGGGGAGCUCUACCGAUACAUUGCCGACACGAAAGGAGUUUUCGUUCAAGUACUUCUCUUCUUUCUGGAAAAAUGGCACGCUGUUACUUCUCGAGUUGAAGCUUCACUAACCUGCAUUUGUUUGCUUUGCUAUCCUUCAGCCUGCAUUCUACGAAGCGUUUGGGCUCACUGUCGUCGAAUCCAUGACUUGCGGACUGCCGACAUUUGCCACUGUUCAUGGAGGACCUGGUGAAAUUAUAGUGGAUGGGGUGUCUGGUUACCACAUCGAUCCUUACCAGGGCGACAAAGCUGCCGAAAUCGUCACAAACUUCUUUGAUAAGUGCAAGGAAGACCCGAG
rnacentral:lncRNA from 1 species